AAAUUUCCAGUAAAUGUUCAGAAACUUUCCAUAGGAAGUUAAGUUGGGGAAUUUUAAAAAUAUUCCAAAUUGGAAACUUUCAUGGAAUUAAAGGAAAUUAUGGGAAUUAAUGGGAAUUUACGGGAAUGUUUGGUAAUUCCUACUGUUUCACAUACAGACAUUAACAUUUUGUUUCGUAAUAAGCAAUAGCAAAAUUCGUAUUUUUGCUUAGCUUAACAUACAAAGAUGACUAACAUGCUAGCAGGAAUCCCAUUCUCUGCCUAUGGUUUACUAGCGUGCUAAGCUAGCAACACUGAAACCACUGAACUGCCCAAGAUACACCACGCCACUCAACAACAAAAUCCAAUUGAUUGGAACAUUUACUGACAAUCAGUUUGUUCAGUCAGAAUCCCAGAAAAUGGUAAAAUAAAUAAAAAUAUAAUGACAACAUACCACCCCAACCAAACCAAACCUAGAUUAAAUGAUAUUGUCAAGCUUAAUCAGACAGAU